rnacentral:misc_RNA from 1 species
GUGAAUCAUCGAAUUUUUGAACGCAAAUUGCACUCUCUGGUAUUCCGGAGAGUAUGCCUGUUUGAGGGUCAGUUUAAAUAAAAAUCGGUGUGGUUGCUGCCUUUCGUGGUGACGCACCGGAUUCGGGUCGUCUUGCCUUCGGUUAAGUGACCUAAUUUUUGCCUUAUUUUUUUUGGACGGAUUUAAAAGAAUUUUCGUUCGU